GCCCUAAGGCAAAAACAUCUAAAAAAUCAAAAUAAAUAAAAAUCAAAAAGGUAAAAUGAUACACUUCAACACCAAUAAAUUGGGACAGUAUUGAUCAGAGUUCAAAACACCUUGUGUUGCUUGGAAAAAGAGUAAAAAUGUUGAUUCACUUCAGUUUAUCUGCUGAAUAUACAAAUUAAAAUUCUUGCCAACCACUAAAAGAAGAGAAGAAUAUAUCAUUUCUAAGGCCCAGUACAUAUUACACGUAGGAAUCACAUCUAACACUACAGAACAGUUAAAGUAAAUGAAUGAAAAGGAUAGAGUUGGGAAACUAAGUUGUUCUGAGAGAGCAUGAACUUACUUUUUAUUUUUUCUUUUUGUAGGUUAAAGAAAAAGGAGUUUAGUUUAGAAGAAAUAUAUACCAACAAGAAUUACAAGUCUCCUCCUGCAAACAGGUGUUUAGAGACUAUCUUUGAGGAACCCAAGGAACGAAAUGGUACACUGAUCUCAGUCAGCCAACAGAAGCGGAAGCGAGUUCUAGAAUUCCAGGACUUCACAGUCCCACGAAAGAGAAGAGCUCGAGGGAAAGUCAAGGUGGCUGGCAGCUUCACCAGGGCCCAGAAAGCAGCUCUGCAGAGCCAGGAGCUGGAUGCUCUUCUGAUACAGAAACUAAUGGAACUGGAGACCUUCUUUGCCAAGGAAGAGGAACAAGAGCGGUCGUCAGGUUGUUGAGAAACCAUUCAAUUUGGGGGGUGGUCUCAAUGUUCGAUUUCUUCUUUUUUUUUUGGACCUCCUUAGAAGAGGUUGCCUAAUUUUGUCCUACUGCCCAAACCACUCAAAAUGCAGUCCAUGAAUUAUGACCUAUUUUAGGGUGCAACCUUUUUAGGAACUGGCGAAGGAGAGUCCUCUACUUCAACUGCUGAGUAUAGAACCUCAGGAAUGUUCCCUUUCUCCUGGAAAUGGUCCUCAGUGACAUCCGGCCACCUCCUCCCAGUCUCUGCCAUCCACAGGAGAAAGAAGCAGCAUAUCUUCAGUAACACUAGGAUUCCAAGGACUCACAGCAUUUGCACAGCAUCUGCAUGUCCAUAUGAAAGUUUUGCUUUGUUUACGGUGGUGCUAGACCAAGAUUAUUUAGAAACAAGGCCUAGGGAGGGGGACAUGGCAUCCUGUCCUGCGUGGUCUCACUGGCUCAUUUCGUUAGUUGAAGAAAGAUGAGCUAUUAUGUUUUCUCAUCGUUUUGCCUCUGUCCACUCAGAACCUAUCUGUGUGUGUGUGUGUGAGAGAGAGUGUGUGUGUGUGUGUGAGUGUGUGUGUGUGUGUAUGUGUGUGUGUGUGUGGCUUUUCCCUCUCUGUGACUGUGGGUCACUAGUGCCAGAGGAGCCCGUCCAGGCCCCAUUCAAAGUAAGUUGCACUUUUUAAUGUUGUGGUGUUACUUUCAUUAUUUUAUUUCCUCCUUUCUUCCCUUUUUUUUUCUUUUUUUUCUUUUUCGGUAUUAUUAUUGUUGCUGCAUGUUUGGAGCCUUUAAAUGUGAUUUUAAAACUAUUUUUAAAAGACAUUAAGAGGAAGACAAUAGAUGUCUUAAGAAUACAUGCUAGGCAUCAGACUCCGUUGAUCAGUGCAUGGAAGAGACGUUUUCCCACUCCUGUGUCUCAAGCAGUCUUUCCCCACUCCACCUUCUAGUGUAACUUACAGAGGGAGCAUUUUUUCCAUCUGGAUUCUCAUUCCUGCCCACUAGGUACACGUAUUUAUUUUAGUGACAUAAGUAGGAGCAGGUUUCUUUCCCCAUUAUUUAAAAAAUACUAAUGCUGGGUAUGGUCUUAGUGGUUUUAUCUGAAAUGGUGGUAUGUGACAGGGUUGGUGCAAGGCUGCGGCGGUGCGAGAAGCUGACCCAGAGUGUCCGCAGCUGUGAGAGCACUGCUCCAGGAGCAGGGAGUUAGGGCACUGGUUCAGACAUGGCCUACUUGUGGUGGAACCACAAAAUUCCAGAGAGCACCUCAUUGAAUUCGGGGCUUCUGGGUCAAACCUACUGGAAGUGUCAAAUGCCCGUGUUAGCUGAGUUUCUGGGUGUGUGCCUGCAGGAGUCUGGGCCAGUGUUCGCUGCUGAGCAGAGCCUGGAGGCCUCCUUCCCUCCCCACUGAGUCCCUACUUGCCCUCACCCGGCUCCCCUCCUCCCCUCCUCCUCUCUUGUGAUUUAUCUUUCUCCUAACAAGAGUUGAGAGAAUUAACAUUCCUUGGCUGGUGAGUGGGAUGGUAAAACUAGCCUCAGGAUACCGGUCACCUCUUCCCAUCUUCCCAGGAGCUCCUGCCACAAAGCAGCCACGGAUGGGAACAUUUGAAGCUCCCGGGACAUUUUCAAGUCAGAGUGGAGUGAGUGGUGCCAUCCUGGAACAUUGGCCCAUUCUCCUGGGUUUCUUGUCUCCCCAUUUGUUAGGUGGGGAGCUGGGAUGGGGUGGGUGGUCUCUAUGUGCCUUUCCUUUACAGGUUGACAGUCUAUGCCACACUGGAGCAGAAAAACUGACUUGAGCAGGAAAAAAAAAGUGCCACGUCUAUCUUCUAGGCCCGCUGCCUCAGAUGCAGCAUUUAGGGAAGUGAAAUACACACUCAGUCAUCCAUGGAGGCUUCUAAGGCCACGGCCAAGUAGGAUUAGAAGAGAACCACGUUUCCAUGCUGGCUGUGCGUGAUGCUAACCAGAUUCUGCCGUCUACAUCCACUUUGCCCAGACUGUAUAGACACGACCUAUUCUUCACCUCAAUCCCUCUCCCUUCCUGGGACAGGGUUCUUAGACACUAAAUGCUUCUCUCUACCUUUUGUUUAAAGGAAUGGGGUGAGUAAUACAUUGUGCCCUUAUGCAGACAUACUUGGGGAGCUCCUGCUGGGCAGCUCACGAACUAGCAGUGAGUGGACAGCGGCCGUUUGCCAGCCCCACAGCUGGUACAGACGAGUCGGCACGUGGCAGCCCUGUCAGGCGAAAGUUGAGGUGGUGUCGCCAACCUGACAGAGGUACGGCUUCAGGUUUGUUCAUCCUAGGCGUGGCACUGGGAAGGGCCAGGCAAAGCAGUUUGAAACAUUGGCAUCUGGGCACAAAGGAUUGGAGGAAAGAGACCUGGGCUUCUCCGUUCUCCUGGGAAGAUUGGAGAGAAGCUGCUCUGAGGCCAGCCAGGCCUCUCUUUGACACUCUCAGCCUACCCUCUGCCGAGGGCCCUGCCCUACUCCAAGUUAUGAAGAGGCCCCCACCACAAACUUGAAACUUCCUACUGGAGUUGAUACAUCCGGCUCUAGUCGUACCCAGCCACACCUGUCUUAACAUCCAGUUUCGCCACUGACACAGCACUGUCAGUGGUUCUCGGAGCCUGUGGUCCCCGGCCAUGAUGGGGACAUUAGCCGCUGGCACGCCACCUGCCCAGAGCGACAGGAGGUCUGGUUCUGGGGUGGAACUUGGUACAACUUCUCAGUAUAGGGAUUUCCCACUCAAAUGGUGGGAAGUUAUAGUUCACUAUGACUUAAUUAACUCACCUCGGGAAGUCUAGUGGUUUUAGUAUGGGAAAGAGAGGAGAAAUCUCAGGUCCAACCAGGGUUUUGCCCAUCAGCUUUUCACCGAAACCUUCAAGUCUGCUUCUCAUCUUUCUGCUUUUCUAGCUCUAUGUGCAGCCCCCCCUCCCCCAGCUGCACACACUCUCCUCGUCCGUCUCUCUCUCUCUUUUCCCUUUGAUCUUCUUUCCAGCUUCAUUUCUCCUUCAGUUUGAACGUACCUCAUCACCUGGAAAAGCAGAUUAUGCCCACUUUUUCUUACUGACCUUACUCUAAGAGCUACAGCUGAGAGAGAUACAGUGAAAAGAUAUGUAGCGUUUGCCUUACUCGGAGCCUAAAGAGCUCGGAAACUCAUGCUGUGAACCCCCCAAUUCGGCGCUCCUCCAUGAGCUGUGAAAAUCAUGACACUCUGUUCUGAUUUUGCCUGAAAGAGCCUUUUGUGUGGGUACCUGAGCCAACGUGGGGUGGAUUCCCGAUCGCACUCUUUGGGUAUGGUCCUUUCUCCCCCUCUCCCCCUCCCGGGGCUCUUUCUCUGCCCACCAGGCCAAGAGCGGCAGGGAGCAUGCAGGACCAUGGCAGCAGAUCCCUGGCAGCCGUGCAGCUAAUGAAACCCGCCCCAGGCUGGGGUUCCAUCUCAUAAUCAAUACCAUGUAUGUAAAGGUCUGUGGAAGAACAACUUCUAGGCAGAUGUACUUUUCUCCCAUUACCUGAGCGUUGGGGGUGGUGCGAAGUUGGUGCUUUCUCUCAUUCCCUUGUUUUGUUUUGUUUCCAUUAACUGUUUCCCUGACAUCAUGGAAAGGACCUCUUAACCACGUUGUGGGUGUCUGUAUCCAAAGCAUAAGUAUUUGGCCAGAGAUGAGGAGUAUCCUCUCCUGGAUUCCUGGAAGGAAGGUGCUCCUUACCAGAACUGAACUUAGAUAAAAAGCCGGCCAGGGAGAGCAACUUGACUAAAAUCAUGGUUUAAUAUCACUAGCCACAAAGGGAGCAGCCAAAGCUAUUGUGAUUGGGAAGCUGGGCGGCGGGGAGACCUCAUCUCAGCCGCCACCUUGCACAGCGAACUCUCAGACAUGAUGCCUGUUCAUCGUGUGCCCCCAGGCUCCUCUCUGGUGCUGAAUUGGAUUUGCAUUCUAGGUGAGGGGCCUCAGCUUCUCCUUGGGGUGGUCUGGGCCAGUAAAUAGCUGCCUGAAGUGUUUAUAAAUGAUCAUGGUCAAUAGUUCAGUGAAAUUUGUACAUUUUUGGUAAUGUUGGCAUACACGAUGCCCCUACAGUUUCUUUUCUGUUUGGUAGUUUGUGACUCUAAAAUUCCCACUGUUCUGUGUGUUAAUUUAUGAAAAUAAAUUUUUUUUUUGAAAA